GAAAAGAUGGCCCUUCUCCUGAGUAAGAGAGAAUUCACCAGUAGACUGCCUUCGGACUUCAUCCACAACACUGGAUUCCUGCCUAAUGGCUUCUGAUCUGGAACACUGGCUCUCCCCUGGUUUCCACCUGGUGUCCCACCCUACAGGUUGGAUGUGCCAACCUCCAUAAUCACGAGUGCUGACAACAAUGACGCCAUCUCUGCCCCUGCAUCGUGUUUAUGCCCACAACACGACGUCCCUGGGGCUACACGUUCCAGGCCCUGUGGAGGAGGUUAAUGUAUGACCUGACCAGAAUGCGGGAAGGCUUGUUCUGAUCUUCCCUAAGACGGCUCAUGCAAGGCAUCACUUAGGUAACUAGCAGAGAGCCUCUGGCACACAGAUGACGUCACUAACCUGUGACCUCACCACCAUGCCCCUUGCUCUAUAAAAGCUGGGAUUGAGGUCUGGACGUGGUAGAGACUAGACGUGGAGGACAGCUGCCUACUGCCUGGAUCAUCUGCCCACCUGCCCAACCCCCUGUCAGUAAGUUACCCCGAAUAAAACUCGUAAACGGUGUGGA